rnacentral:rRNA from 1 species
UACGGGGGGAGCAAGCGUUGUUCGGAUUUACUGGGCGUAAAGGGCGCGUAGGCGGCGCAACAAGUCACUUGUGAAAUCUCCGGGCUUAACCCGGAGCGGCCAAGUGAUACUGUCGUGCUAGAGUGCGGAAGGGGCUACUGGAAUUCUCGGUGUAGCGGUGAAAUGCGUAGAUAUCGAGAGGAACACCUGCGGCGAAGGCGGGUAGCUGGGCCGACACUGACGCUGAGAGACGAAAGCUAGGGGAGCGAAUGGG